AAAUAAAAAUUGUAACUAUGUGUUUGAAUAUAAGAGAUAAAGCCAUGCUGUUUGUUAAGUCAUUUUUCCCCAACUGAUACA
rnacentral:snoRNA from 1 species